UAGCUUGCAUGCUGGUUCAGAAAAUGAAAAUGAACAGUUAAAAGAACUACAUGCACUAAUGAAAGAAGAUCUGACCCCUGUGGAAAGAGUCUAUGUAAGAAAAAGUAUUGAGCAGCAUAAACUGGGGACCAACAAAACCCUGCUGAAGCAGGUAAGGGGAAAUAGCUUUAGUUUGCUUCUUAAUUUAUAGACACUACUCAGAUUCUCCUAAUUUCUGUUAAUGGAAGAAUAUUUUCUUCAGUGAAACACACUGACAUGGUAGCUUAGAUUCAGUUAGGUUUGUAUAUCUGUAACCUUGGAUGCAGUUGACCCAGUGCAUGUUUUAUGUUUGCCACAAAGCAGUCUUCAAAUUUGUGAACAGACUCUAUUUACUAGGCCUGAGUCAUUCUUUCUUCUUCUUCCUAUUUGCAUAUCUUUUUAUAAACUUGAACAGGAAAGAGAAGAGUUUUGGAAUAGAUUCCUGGCAUGUUCAAUGAAAUUGGUUUUUCUAGAAGUAAAGAAAAGUUCUGACUAUGGGCAAAUUAUCAAAGUGAAAAUUUGUCUUUGAUGCUCUCCUAGAAAGCCAAGGCUUUCCAGGGCCUGACUAUAUCCAAGAAUCCAGGAGGCACAGACACUUGCUUCCAGGCACUGGGAGCCAAAAUUGGCCACAUAGGAUUCCAAGCUUUAACAAGGAGCAUCAUCCUCUUAAUCAAGUUCUCAUCAGUGUAGCCUGGGCAUUAGCUGUUACUCCCCCAGUAGUAAUAGCUUUCUCCUGUGAAAGGAGAACAUAGGGAAAAGAAAGGAAACUGGAGAAAAAGAAAACUGUUGGUUUCCUGGACCACACAAACAUUGGUCACUUUCUGCAAGACAUCCUGCUUUUGAGACCCUGUAUUAGAUAAUUGUUUCUAAAAUACUACUUAAUAAAUAAAAUAUAAUUAUCAAUACUUUUUUGGUGUGUGUGUGUGGUACUAGGGAUUGAGUACCAGUGCAGCUACCCUCUACCCCUGAGCCACAUCCCCAUACCUUUUUUUUUUUUUUUUUUUUAAUUUCAAGGCAGGGUCUCGUUAAUUUUUCCACACAGGCCUUAAGCUUGAUGAUCCUCCUUUGUCAGCAUCCUGAGUAGCUGGGGUUAUGGGACUAUGCCAACAUGCCCGGCAAAAUUAAGACAACAGCUUUUGACUCUACAGGUCAACUGGUGUUAUCUCAGCUUUGGUCUCUCAUUCUUAGAAAACUGCCCAUGGCAUGCUUUAUUCAGAGGUGGAAGCAGCCAUCAGCCCCAAGGCCUUUCUUUUUGUGCAACCAAAGAAAGCACAUUGCCAACAGGUUACAUAAGUGAGCUCAUGCUUACAAGCAGAUGCUUAUGAACUUGACUGCAUAUGCUGAAUCAGGGUGCUCAUGACCUUGGCUUUACACUAAAAACAUAACCUGCUGGAAGACUCCACAAGGGACCCUAACUAUAGUCUUCUUGGGUUUGCCCUACAGCAUGAUAGAUGUUCUCUUGACAGAUGGCAGUAGUCAACAGAGGAUAAAUUAGAUCACAUUUAAAGCUUCUAUUCACAUCAUAUCUGCCAAUAUUUUAUUUCUUAUAACAGGUCAUAUAACCAAGUUCAACCUCAAUGAGGUAGGGAAAUACAUUCUGCCUACCUCUCUAGUGGGAAAUACUGCAAAGCCACACAGCAAAGGGUAUGGUUAUGUAAGACUAAUCUCAUGGGGAGGAAGGGACAUAUUGGGAGUAAUAACCAGUACACAAGUUUUGGGUCUAAAAGUUCUCAGAGGACUUGAGACUAACUUUUUGUGAUCUGAAUUUUAGGGUUGACUCUGGACCGCUUUCUCUUUAAUUCUAGAGGGGCUUAGUUUGUCUGUGUUCAGCGAAUACAAAUUAACCAUUUAUGUAAUCUUCUUACCAUUUUACUCCCCCAAUAUAAUAAUGAUAUAUCAGAAUAACUGCUAAUGGUUUCUUUGGUAAUUUUCUAAAUAAAAGUCCAGUUAUAAUAAUAUAUUGCUCAUUGCUAUUACCUAUGUACAAUGAAAACUAUUUUAGAGGAAGUAUUUUAAAAAUACUUUGCUAAAAUUUCUCAGUCUAAUAAAGCAAUCAGGCCUGACACAUUUCUAAAGUGAUAUGUCUUUACAAUAAAACUCAUUUAUAAAAAUGCUUCAUAAUUACUUACUACCCCUGGUCAAUAACAAAAUCUCUUCUAUUGUCUGAGUCUCAGUAGUAUAAUAAUAAAUUAAAAGAUAAAAGUAAUACAAUUCUUUAAAGAAAAAUCAUAAUUAGGCUUUUUGUAUUUAUACAUGUAAUAUAUAUUUGUAUGUAUAUUUCAUGUAUAUAUUUGUGUGUGUAUAAAUAUGUGUUUGUGUGUGUGUGUGUGUGUGUGUGUGUAUUUCCCCCCCCUCGACUCCCCCAAUGCUAAGGGUUUAACCAGGGCCUUGCUCUGCAAGGGAUCUACCACUAAGUACAUUCCCAUCAUAGAUGUUUCCUUAAAUUAAAGCAUUAAAAAAAUGCUUCUUGAUUUAUAAACUUAAGAUCCUUAUUUAAAAGUUGUUAGAUGUAGUUACAAGAGUUAGACAACAAAUGAUAUUUCAAAGUGGUGCCAAAAGCAAAAUAUGAGCUUCAAGGAUUGAACAUUCUGAAAGAACUGAAUAAAUCCUGUGGAAUUUCUAAUAUAAGUAUGACUUUAGGAUGUUUGUUUUGGGGAUUUUUUGUUGUAGUUGUUGGUUUUUGCAGUCUUUGGGCCUUGUGCAUGUUAUGUAGGUGCUCUACCACUGGUCUACAUCCCCAGCCCUUUGUUUCUCUUUUUGACAAAAGAAGGUAAACCUGUUACAGAGCUAUUUUGUGUAAUGUUAUUUAUUAAGAAAAUUAAGUGUUUAUAUUAUUUUCUUAUUUCAUAGGCUUUGUGGAAGCAAUAUGUAAUUUGUAAAUCAUAUUUUUGUAAAUCACAUUUGUUGAAAGAAGAGAUGAUCAGUUUAUAUGGAUUGCCCUUGCUAUGAGGAAGUGUAAUUGUACUUGAGAUUAUUAGAAGGGAAUAUGCAUAGGGUGUAUAUAUACAUAUUUAUACUCAUAUACACAAAUUUAUGUACUCAUGUAUGUGCAUGUGUACAGCUAAUAAGCUACAAGACCAAUGGCCACAUCAUUUAAACAAUUCAACGAUUUUUCUAUUUAACUAUAGAGAUUAAAUAUUAGAUUUUCAGGCUUUUUGCUUGAGAAUAAUGGCAUUCUGCUUAAUAUUUAAGAUUUGCAAGAUUCAAAUAUACUAAAGGCUACAAGUACCUAGUGUGCUUCAAGGUUAAGCAGAGGAUAUUUUACUAGCAUGUUCAUUGUUCUUUGUGAAGAACUUUGGCCUCUGUUGUCAUAAUGCAUGUUGUAUUGUUGAAGCUCAUCUAGAAGGUAAAAUACAUCAUCCUUGAUGUUUUUUAAAUCAUUGAUUUUUAUAAUACCUUCCUUCUGGAUAUCAAACUGGACCUUUUAUUUGUUCAUAUUAAUGGGCUUUUAGUUAAGUAGCCUAUAUUCUGUGAUUUCCAUUUUGUAUUGGGAAUAAUAAAAAAUGUAGAAAUAAAAUGAUUUUUGAUUUUAGCCUACAAUUUCUUUGGUAAAUAUAUUCUCUUAUUUUCUUUUAAUAGUUGUCAACUAAUAGCAUUUUGAUUUUAAUAAAGGUUCGAGUAGUUGGAGUUACCUGUGCAGCCUGCCCAUUCCCAUGCAUGAAUGACCUUCAGUUCCCUGUGGUUGUGCUGGAUGAGUGUAGUCAAAUAACAGAACCAGCCGCUCUCCUUCCCAUUGCAAGGUAACGUAAAAAAUUCCAAAAGAACUCACAUGUCAAAAUUAUUUCAAACAUUUUCUGAGGGCUGGGGAUGUGGCUCAAGCGGUAGCAUGCUCGCCUGACAUGCGCUCGGCGCUGGGUUCGAUCCUCAGCACCACAUACAAAUUAAAGAUGUUGUGUCUGCCGAAAACAAAAAAAUAAACAUUAAAAAAAUUUUCUCUCUCUCUCUCUCUCUCUCAAAAAAAAAAAAAAAUUUCUGAGUUCAAACUCCUACCAAAAUUUUGUCAAAAUUCCUAGCAAUUCAAGUACAUAGACAUAUUUUUAAAAAUAGUACAGAGGCAAACUUUUUUUAAGUAAAUUAAAUGCAUCAAAAUUUUGAUAGUGUAUAGUUUAGAAAUUUGAAUCACAUAACCCUUAAAGCCUUGAGAGCCUUAGUGCUAGGAUUCUCCUAGGAUGUUACAGAUUUCUCUACCAGAUUAAAAGUUCCUCUUUAGUCAUAGUUUGAAACCAAUUCCAAUGAAGAAUAUCUUUUAGUUCCCUUACUCAGAUAUAAUUCAAGUGUUUAGAUUUUGAAAAUAUUUUUUGGGUUAUGAAAGAGUAUAAAAGUUUAUAAAGAAGAACAAGUUGAAAACGAAAAUUUGUCUCCUAAAAUUUAGAAGACUAUGAAAUUUUCUAAGCUGUCCUAGCCAAGAAAAACAUUGUGCUUUUAAAGCAUCUUUAGGGGAAGGGGAUAUAGUCUAAACCACAAAAAAAAAAAAAAGCAUUUCUUCUUGAGGAAUCCUACAGAUAGUAGAAAGAGUACCAGAUUAGGACUCAGUAGGCCUUGCUCAGUCCCCAGUUAAUAAGAGAGUAGGGUACCAGCUGUCAGAGUUUGCUUGGGAAUUGGGAUGUUCCUGAAUCAUGGGGGUUUGGGUUUUCAAACUAUGAUAGUCCAAGGCAAACCAGAAUGAGUUGGUCACUCUACCCAGGAGCCAGGGGUGGAAGAAUCAUGAGGCCCUGGGUGAGAACAGUGGGGUAAUAUAGCACCUACUGUAUACUGAAUACAUUAUUACUUUAUUUAAUCUUUAUAACAGCCAUGCAAGAUGUUAUUACUGAUAAGGUUAGUGGUAAGAAUACUGAAGCAUAAAGAAAAUAAAUAAAUCACUAUGUCCAUAGAAUAUUAUACAGUUAAAAUUUGAAUAAUAGCUUUCUUUACAAAGCUUGGAUUCUUUCCCACUGUAUCUUACUCCUAUUUAGAAAGACUGCUUCUGAGAGCCUAAUUUACCUCACCUCUAAAACAAGCAAAAUCAAUUAUAAGAAAGCUUCUAAUUCUAAGAGUUUAUGGAUUCUAAAAAUAAUUGUUUUCUGUAUGUAUUCUCUGAAAUACUAACUCCAUGAAGAGAGAAGGGAUAUUCCUUAGGGUUUAUUUGGAAAAAAAUAAGUUAUGCAAAAGAUUCUUUAAUGGAUAACAUUUCAAAGCCUUUAAUCUACUUUUUAGCACUAUUAGCCUUAUCAGGUCUCAAUACACAUCUUAGGAUUUUUAUUUUUAAAAUAUGUUUUGGAAAAUCCAAUAAAUGUUGUCAAUAUACUCUUUUUCUCAUUGCUUAGAUUAAUUUUUGAAAUUUUGUUUUUAAGGUUUAAAUGUGAAAAGCUGAUUCUUGUUGGAGACCCCAAACAGCUGCCUCCUACUAUUCAAGGUUCUGAUGCAGUUCAUGAAAAUGGAUUGGAACAAACUCUUUUUGAUCGACUUUGUAUAAUGGUACAUGUUGUUAAGUACUUUGAGCGUUAUCACACAUGAUUAUACAUGGUACAGCAGAAUGGAAAUAUUAGAAAACCUGGUUCUUUUUCUUAAUUAGUUUAUAAUUGGAGUAGCUUAAAAGUACUUGUCGUGACACAUGACUAAACCAAUUAGGGUCACUUCAUGUGAACUGGGCUGGCAUGAAAUAAUAACACACAAAGAAAUACCUUUUUCUUUGGAUUCUGUGAUGGCCCCUCUGACCCAACUCCCACAAAAGAGGCAAGGCAGGCAAGAAAGAGAGAGAAUGCGCCUCAAACCCAGGUUUUAUUAAUGGGGGAGCUAAUCCAUGGAAUAUUCUAUCCAAAAAAGGGCAAAAGGGUAGGAUUACAACAAACAGGUCAACCCCAUCCGGUGACGCCCACUCCCCGAGCUACAACUUUCUUAUCCAAGCAGAGGUAAAGUCCACGUGCAUUGCAGGGUGCAAUACCAAACCAGUUCCUCUUUACUCAGGAUUUAAAGGUGUGUGCAUAGCUCCUGUUCAAGGGGGCUCCCCAGACAAGUAUCAUCUUAAAUAUACCUAGAAUCCUGUGAUUUUAACAUGACUUUAUAGAAAGGAUAUUUUCCCUAUGUACUUCAGUAGUGGGUAGUAAGUACAUUGCUCUUGCUUUAAAAUGUAAGAAACUUUUAAUGCUACUGUUAUCCAUGUGGAGCUCUUUAAAAAAUAAUUAGUAUAUUUUAAAAUGGAGGGGAAAUUCAAAUAACAUAAAAGUAAAUAAUUCAAAUUCAAAUAACAUGAAAGUGAAUAAUUCGGUGGUGUUUAGUUCAUGCAUAAUGCUGUACAACCAUCACCUCUUUCUAGUUCCAGAACUUUUCCUUGUCUUAUUUUAGCAGUUAUUUUCCUCUUCUCCUGCCCCCUGGUGAUCACAAUUCUGCUUUCGGUCUAUAUGAAUUUGUCUAUGCUGGAUUUUUCACAUAAAUGGAAUAUGCAAUAUAUGAUCUUUUGUGACUGGCUUCUUUUACUCAGUACAAUGUCUUUGGGGUUCACCAUCUUAUAGAUCAGGACUAUGUUUUACUUUUUUUCCCUAUAGUACAUUUGUGUUGUACAAGCAUCACCUAUCCAUUUCCACAGCUUGUUUAUCAUCUCAAACAAAACUUUGUAAUUUUUAAGCAAUAAUUCUCUAUUCCCCCUCCCCAACUCUCUAGCUGUAACCUCUAGUGUACUUUCUGUCUCUGUGAAUUUGUCUAAUCUAGAUGCCUCAUGUAAAAAAAAAAAAAAAAAAAAAUAUAUAUAUAUAUAUAUAUAUAUAUAUAUAUCCUUUUUUCUUUGACUUAUUAACUUAGUAUGUUUUCAAGAUUCAUCCAUGUUGUACCAUGUGCCAGAAUUUCAUUCCUUUUUUAAGGCUAAAUAACAUUCCUUUGUAUGUAUAUUCUACAUUUCGUUAUAGAUAUUUGGGUUGGGUUUCCACUUUUUGACUAUUGUAAAUAAUAGUGAACUUUUAUUUAUAUUUUAUUUUAUUUAUAUAUUUAUUUAUUUAUAGCUACUGUGAACUUUGGUGUACAAAUAUCUGUUUGAAUCCCUGCUUUCAGUUCCUCAGUAUCUGCCCAGAAGUGUAAUUCCUGGGUCAUGUGAUAAUUCUGUUUCACUUUUUGAGGGAUUGUCAAACUGUUUUUCAUACCAGCUACAUUUCUUUUAUGUUCUUGGUAGUAGUCACAAAGGUUCCACUUUCUCCACAUCCUCUGCAGUGCUUGUUAUUUUCUAUUCACAAUAGCCAUCCUAAUGAGUGUGAAGUGGUAUUACAUUGUGUUUUCCCAAAUGAUGGUGAUAUUUAACAUUUUCCAUGCAUUUAUUGGCCAUUUAUAUAUCUUCUUGAAGAAAUGCUUAUUCAAGUCCUUUGCCCAUGUUUUAAUUGGCUUUAAUUCUUGUUGAAUUGUAGGACUUCUUUCUGCAUUCUGGAUAUUAAUUCCGUAUCAAAUAUGUGAUUUGCAAAUAUUUUCUCUCAUUCUAAAAGUAGUAUUUUCACUUUAUCAUAGUAUCCUUUGAUGAACAGUUCUUAUUUUUGAUGAAGUCCAAUUUAUAUAUAUUUUGUGUUGCUUGUGUUUUUGAUGUCAUAGCCACAAAAUUGUUGCCAAAUCCAAUAUCAUUAAGAUUUCCCCCAAUGUUAACUGUUUUUUAUUUAUAUUUAAUUUUUCAUCUGCAUUAUCUAUGGAACCUUUCUCUUAUAUCAGAAAUUUAAUUUCUGUUCUCUUACAUUUCAAUUUCAAAUUGCUUUGAGGUUUCUUUUUUUUUUUUUAAUAGGAAAAGGAACAUAAUAAAUUUUACAUGUUAAGGCACAGAAGUGUGAGACUUCAUCAUUGAAUUUUAAGUUGAGUUGUAGUGACUUUUUUGUGAAAAAAUUAUAUUUGUUCUUGGCUUCCUUUAGUUAAUUAGUUCUUUUUUUAAUAUUUGUUUUGUAGUUAUAGAUGGACAAAAUAUCUUUAUUUUUAUGUGGUGCUGAGGAUUGAACCCAGCACCACAUUGAGCACUCUACCUCUGAGCCUCAACCCCAGCCCCAGUUAAUUAGUUCUUUAAAGUUAUUGUCUUGAAAACCAAUCUAUUUCUUUAGUGUUGAAAUUUCCCUUUUAUUAUCUUACUUCUGAGAUUGUUUUACUGGAUUAUAUUUGGAUUUGAUACUAAUGUUUAAACACUUAUGGACAUUUUUCUUCUGUUCCUUGGUUAUGCCUUUGUCUAAGAUGAAUUCCGAAUGUAUCAGCUAUGAUUUGAAUGUGUCCCCCAAAGUUCAUGUGCUGGAUAUUUGAUUUGCAAUGUGGAGGUGUUGGGAGGUAGGACCUUUUAGAGAUGUUUAGGUCAUGAGGGCUGUAUCUGAAUAAAUGGAUUAAUGCUAUUAUCAUAGGAUUGGAUUACUAAUAUAAGGAGUAUGCCCCCCUUUGGCACCCUGAACCCCUCACCCUCUUGCCUUCUGUCAUGGGAAAAUGCAUCAAGAAAUUGUUCACUGGAAUCCCAGUGGCUCAGGAGGCUAAGCUGGAGAAUCGAAGUUCAAAACCAUCCUCAGCAAAUUAGUGAGGUCUUAGAUAACUUAGCAAGACUCUGUCUCAAAAUAAAUAAAAGGGCUGGGGAUGCGACUCAGUGGUUGAGUACCCCUGGGUUCAAUCCCUGGUAACCCCCCGACACCCCCAAAAACUGGUUGCUCACUGGAUGCUGUAACUUAAAUUUGUAUUUUCUGGCCUCCAGAACUAUGAGAAGUAAAUUUCCAUUUAUUAUAAAUUACCCAGUCUCGGAUAGUCUGUUAUAAUAGCACAAAGCCAACAAAGACAGUAUUUUGGUGGGGGAGGGAAGCUUUUUCAGAUUUAUAUUCUAUAUUCUCUGUAUUUCUAUGAUACCCUGGUGGCAGAAGGGUUUAAAGUUGGAUUGAAAGAUAACUAGGUUAAGAAUGUAUAUACUAUCUUUUUUUUUCUUUUGGGGGGUACUAGGGAUUUAAUCCAGGUGCACUUUACCCAAGGGCCCUUACAACUAGCUACAUCCUGAGCCCUCUUUAUUUUUAAUUUUUAUUUUUUAAUUAUUUUAGAUAUCAUGACAGUAGAGUAUAUUUGGACAUAUUAUAUAUACAUGGAGUAUAACUUAUUCUAAUUAGGAUCCCAUUCUUGUGGUUGUAUGUGAUAUGGAGUUUUACUAGUGGUGUAUUCAUAUACAAACAUAGGAAAGUUAUAUCUGAUUCAUUUUACCAUCUUUUCUAUUCCUAUCCACCCUCCCUUUCCUUUAUUCCCCUUUGUCUAAACCAGUGAAUUCCUAUUCUCCCCCUGCCCUUAAUGUGUGUUAGCAUCUAAAUAUCAGAGAGAACAUUUGACUUUGGUGUUUGGGAUUGGCUUUUUUCACUUAGCAUGAUAAUCUGCAGAUCCAUCCAUUUACUGGCAAAAUUGUAAAAUCAUUCUUUUUUAUGGCUGAGUAAUAUUCCAUUGUGUAUAUAUACCACAUUUUCUUUAUCUGUUCAUCUAUUGAAGGGCAUCUAGGUUGAUUCCAUAGCUUAGCUAUUGUGGACUGAGCUUCUACUAAACAUUUACAUAUCAAUGUGUCAAUGUAAUAUAUCCAUAUCAAUUAACUGCAUUAGUGUAGUAUGCUGAUUUUAAGUUCUUUGGUUUUAUACCAAGGAGUGAGAUAACUGGGUUAAAUGGUGAUUCCAUUCCAAGUUUUCUGAGGAAUCUCCAUACUGCUUUCCAGAGUGGUUGCACCAUUUUGCAGUCCCAGCAGCAAUGUAUCUUAUUUAAUAAAAAAAAAUUUUUUUGGUAUUGGGGAUUGAACUCAGGGGCACUCAACCACUGAGCCACAUGCUCAGCCUUAUUUUGUAUUUUAUGUAGAGACAGGAUCUCAUUGAGUUAUUUAGUGCCUUGUCAAUGCUGAGGCUGGCUUUGAACUCCAGAACUUUGUAUGGAGGCUAUAAUCCCUCAGCCUCCCGAGUUGCUGGGAUUAUAGGCGUUCACCACCAUGCCCGGCCAAUGUAUUUUAUUUUGAGACAUGGUCUCACUAUGUUUCUGAAUCUCUUGCUGAAUUUCUGAGGUUAACGUUGAAUUUAUGAUCCUCCGUCUUAGCCUCCUCAGUCACUGGGAUUACAGGCAUGCGUCACCACAGCUAGCCAUAUGUGAUGUCGUUAUUAGUUUUGUUUUUUUGUUUUUUGGUACUAGGGAUUGAACCAACCUAGGGGCACUUAAUCACUGAUCCACAUCCUGAGCCCUUUUUAAUAUUUUAUUUAGAGACUGGGUAUUGCUGAAUUUCUUAGGAUCUCACUAAGUUGCUAAGGCUGGCUUUGAAUUCAAGAUCCUCCUGCCUCAUCCUUCUGAGCCACUGGGAUUACAGGUGUGCACCACUGCACCCAGCUGUCUUUAUUAGUUUAUGUGUGCACUCUUGUAUCUAAGGUUGGUUUCAUUAAAUAUACUGUACUAGAAUUCACUCCAAGUGGUUGGAUUUGGGGAUCUCUUAUUUUAUUUAUUAUUUUAUUAUUAUACUUAGGAGCCAUUUCCAUUAUAUCACUGCAGCUUAGGUUAGGAAUCUCAUGGUGCUGAGUUCUCCCCUUUACCCCUGAAUCUUAUUUAACUCCUGAUGAUGAGCCCUUUUUUUUAAAGUUUAUGGCAUUAGAUUAGCCAUGUACCUUUUUGUGUUGCAUAACUGCUAAAUUUGGUUCUUUAUUACUGUUAUUAGUUUUGUUUUUAUUUUUAUUUAUUUUUCUAUUAUUGUUUCUUUAGAUAUUAGGGAAUGGAUUCUUCAAGGCAGUGUUUUUUUUUCUUUCUUAAUUCAUAAUUCCCCUUUACUUUUGUGGUUUAGGUUGCAUUGAGGUCCCCCCGCCAUACUGGGAAUUGAACUCAGGAAGACUACCACUGAGCUAUAUCCCCACCCCUUUUUAUUUUUUAUUUUGAGACAAGAUCUUGCUAAAUUGCCCAGGCUGGCCUUGAACUUGCUGUCCUUUCUGCCUUAGCCUCUUGAGCCAUUGGUAUUACAGGUGUACGCCGCCACAUUUGACUGCAUUGAAUUUUUAGUUGAGUUGUAGUCAGUUUUCUAAAGAACCAAGCUUUCAGUUGUCUUGAGCUUUUAAUUAUAAGAUUCAAAAUUUCUAUCCCUCCUAUAAGUGUAUGGCUUCUUUUGAACCAGACUUUUAAAAACCUUUUUAAAAAAAAUCUUAAUUUAAAAAUAAUUUUCAAAUUCUAAAAGCAUUUUUGGGGUAGGCACUAGUUACUUAGUUCAGUAUUCAAUAAGAACCACAAGUAUGGAGGCUGUGAAAGCUUCUACUUUGGUCCCUCAAUCACUAUUUCUCUUCCCCACAGCAACAGUCAUCCCUUUUUUAUAUCUUUCCAGUGAUAUUUUAUAAUAGUAGAAGCAAAUACAUAAAUUAUUUCCCAUUUGUUUUAAAAAAAUGGUAACAUAUAUGUUCUUCUGCUUUUUGUUUUUCCACUUAUUUGUUGUUAAUGCCUUUUAAAAUGUGAAGUAUAUUUUUAUUUGGGGAAAUUUUUAAAGGGCAAAUAAAGAAUAGACUGAAAAAUGAUUUAGUCAUCAAGUAGAAUAAUAUAGAAAUUUUAAGAUGAAUGAACUAGAUCCAUACAGAUAAUUCUCAAAAAUAUAAUGGAUGUUGAAAGAAGCAAGGUGCAAAGGGAUACUUAUUGAAAAUGCCAUUUAUGUGAAUUUCAAAAACACGUCAGAUGACACAUAUUAUUUAUAGACAUAUACCAGUGUAAUACACAACAUAUAAAAGUGCAUGGGAAUGCUACAAAACAAAUUCAGGAUUGAGAUCAUUUCUGGGGAAAGUGGUAGAGCAAAAUAAUGUGGGGGGAAUUUUGCUGUAUAUGUCAUACUUUAUUUUUAACCAAAGAGAGUUGUGAAGCAAACAUGACCAAAGCUAAUAACAAGUCUGGUUGCUUGGCACAUGGAUGUCAUAUUAUUUAAUUUACUUUUCUGUACAUGUAAGCUAGUUCAUAAUUAAAGUAAAAGAAAUAGGUAAUAUCUAGUAUUCAUUAUAGGAAGUGUUAAAUUGCAAAAAAGUAAAGAUAAAAAUAAUGCAUCUAUAACCUCACCACUCCAAGACAAAACCCUUUGUAAUAUUUUAUUAUUUUUCUCUUCCAUCUUUUAUGCUAGGGCUAUAUGCAAAUAUCAGAUGUAUGUAUUUUUACACAGUUGAAACCAUACAAAAUAAACAUAAUUUCUAUUCUGCCUUUUUAAAUUUUCUACUCUACUCAAUCAUUUCCCCUUAUUAUUGUUAGUUUUAUAACCAUCUCUUGUCAUAAAUAUAUAGAAUCAUUAAAUAUUAAAUUGUGUGGAUAUUAUUCAGUCACUUCUCUAACAUUGAACAUUUGGUUGCUUCUAUUACAAAUAAUGAUCCUUUGAGCAUUUUUUUUACAUAAUGAUUUUUGCUAAGAGUUUCACAUGCCUACUGAUUUGGACUUAUCAAUGUAGACAGAUCUGUGCCCCAUAGAGUAGUUAGGAUUGAUUUCUUAUGUGUUUUUCCCCCAUGGAAGAUAUUUUGUCCAUGUAGUCAUCAAUAUUGUUUUAAUUAUACAAGUAUUAUUAUUAGAGUUCCUUGUAGGUGUUUGGUAUGUUCUAGCAAUACUGCAGAACUUUUUGCAAAUAAAGGACAUGAUCUGGAAGAUUGGAAGAGACUUGGAUAUUAUGAUGCAUUAAUGAAAAUUGAAACAUUUUUGAAGAUUCAGAUUGAAAAAAUGGCUCUACCCACAGAGGAAAGUUAAUAAAUAAAAAAAUUACCAAUAGCAUUUUCUAAUUUUUAAAAAGAUAUUUUAAAAUUGUACUAUUAGGUUUAUUCCAGCAUGUUAGGUGUUAAACUUAUUAGAUAAUCAUAAGUUGAAGAUUUGAUGUGUUUGAUGUUUUAUAAUUUUAUAGUGUAAUAGUUUACCAUGAAUUUAUUUUUUAUUUUUCUUCAUUAUUAGGGAUCAAACUUGAGCCUCACACAUUUCUAAACAAGCCCUCUACCAUGAAACUAGAUCUCCUAGUAACUUCUUUUAUAUUUUUAUCUGUGGUUUAUUGUAUCAUGAUUGUAAUUCAUCCUCUAAGAAUAUAAUAUAGUGGUAUUUAAAAAUGUUUAAAUAUUAUCAUUUUUAAGAGAAAAAAUGCUGUUUUAAUUUGUUUUUCUACAUUUAAAUUUUUCAGGGUCACAAGCCAAUUCUGUUGAGAACCCAGUAUCGUUGUCAUCCUGCAAUCAGUGCUAUUGCCAAUGAUCUAUUUUAUGAAGGAAACCUCUUGAAUGGUAUUUCAGAGACAGAGAGGAGCCCUUUAUUAGAGUGGCUACCCACCCUGUGUUUCUAUAAUGUUAAAGGACUGGAACAGGUAAAUGACAUUAGUGUUGAGGGAAGUCAACACGAUUUAGUCUCUCCGUUUAAUUUUAUUGUUGUUUGUAGGUUUACUUGGUCUUUCCGUAGCCUUUCUGGGAAAUAUAAUUUUGGUUCUGUUUCUUAUUCCAGAUUGAAAGAGAUAACAGCUUUCAUAAUGUGGCAGAAGCUGCUUUUACUCUCAAGUUGAUUCAAUCAUUGAUAGCAAGUGGAAUCGCCAGCCCUAUGAUUGGAGUGAUAACAUUAUACAAAUCCCAGAUGUAUAAGGUUUGUGUUACAUAUUAUAUUUGUCACAUGUUAAGCAUUAUAUUUAUAUAUGACAAUAUUUAAUAUUACAUUUGUAGUAGUUUGGUUUGCUUAAAAAACUUUUGUGACUGUAGUUUAUAUAGUAAAAAAGAAACAUUCUGAUUUUUUUUUUCUAGCCUGGCUUUUUUUGUGCAUAAUUAAAUGUAAACCUAACAAGGUUUAAUUAAAUUCAGUUUACAGCUGUUGGGGCAAAAUGCAAAUAAACAAAUUAGAGGGAAGAAAAUAUGGUGUAUGCUUUGUGUUUUGAGACAGAUCGGAUUGAAUCUGUUUUCUAAAAUGUUCUCUCAUUAUUACUACAUUUACCAGUAAGUCAAAGGUAGAUACUAGAUAUUAAUGUACACCUGAGCCAAUUACUUCUAAGUAGAUUUUUCUUUUAGUAUUUUUUAUUUUUCAUUGUUUGCUUAUUUAUGAGCUCUAAAUUAGCAUAUCCAAAUGAGUUUCCUAGCAAUAGAUAAGUAAUUUUGUUUUGUUUCAUAAUUAACAUUGUCAUUUAUCUAUCAUUUUAGAAAAUAUCUAGCCAAGUCUAUGUAAGUCAUGAAAGAGAAAUGUUAGUUUAAUUAAGAUGGUGGCUGUGAGUAGGUCUGUAGAUUUACCUUUUGCACUGUCUCUGCACUGCAUGAUUCUUGCCUUCUUUCCUCCACAGCUCUGUCAUUUACUCAGUGCUGUGGACUUUGACCAUCCUAAUAUUAAAAGUGUGCAGGUGUCCACAGUAGAUGCUUUUCAGGGUGCUGAAAAGGAGAUCAUUAUUCUUUCCUGUGUAAGGACAAGACAAGUAGGAUUCAUUGAUUCAGAAAAACGAAUGAAUGUUGCAUUGACCAGAGGAAAGAGGCAUUUGUUGAUUGUGGGAAAUUUAGCCUGUUUGAGAAAAAACCGACUAUGGGGGCGUGUGAUCCAACAUUGUGAAGGUAAAAUAGAAAUGUAUUUCUUUCAAGCAUUUUUUAAUUAAAACUCUUGUGGGUUAAUGUGUGGGAUGGUUUGGGCAGGAAUAGCUCUAGAUUUGUCAUUGUGGGAGAGAACUGGUAUGAUAAUAUGCAGACUACUAUAAAAUAAAGAAUAAUUGUCUCCUGUUUUGUAUCUUUUUAAGGAAGUGAAAAUGGAUUGCAACAUGCAAGCCAGUAUGAACCCCACCUGAACCAGCUCCUUAAAGAUUAUUUUGAAAAACAAGCAGAAGAAAAACGGAGGAAAAAGACUGAAAAAGAAAAAUCUAAAGAUAAAUCUCAUUCACAAAAAGACAUAAUUUAGGAAUUUUGUAUUAAUGUAAAUUGAUUCAUUUUCAAAAGUCUUGUAGGAAAAAAUCUCUAUAAUAUCUUAAAAACAUGCUAAGUAAAUACAUCUAAAAAUUUACUCUGCAAAAAAGAACAUGCAUUACUUAUACUCAAAUAAAUGUUUUGUUUGCAAAAGAAAUAAAUUUUGACAGGGCAUAGUGUUACAUGCCUGUAAUUCCAGGGUCUUGGGAGGUUGAGGCAGGAGGAUCACAAGUUCAAAGCCAGCCUCAGCAAUUUAUUGAUGCCCCAAGCAACUUAGCAAGACCCUGUCUUAAAAAUAAAAUAUAAAAAGAACUAAGACUGUAGCUCAAUAGUUAAGCACCCUGGCUUCAAUCCCUGGUACUAAAAACAAACAAAAAAAGGAAUUUUGCAAGGGGUAGUAAGAAGCCUUCCUGGGGAGUGCCAACACACUUCAGAAAUACGUGAAUAUUUCAGAAGUUCAUCUGUUGGACGCAUCUGUACAAAUACACCAACACACCCUUUUCUGAACUAUUAUUGUAUCCUCAUCUUUUAGAAAUACAACAUCCAUCAUUUUAAAAGCAAAGACAUUCACAAUUACACUUUUAAUAAGUACAAAAGAGAAGAAAGAAAAACACCAAAAGUUCACAGUUGGAGAUGUGAACCAGGUAGCCAGUGCCCAGCACCAUACCUGGUUGAGUAGCUGCUUAAUAGGUAUCCAUUAGAUGAAUGAAUGAAUGAUGAAAGACUGCCUUUGACUCACUUCCUUCUGGUCUUUCCCCUCUACAUUUACUUGCACAGUAGUUAUUGGUGUAUAUAAUAUAUAUGGAUUAAAAUUUUUUAUUAUAAAAAUAACAUUCUCCUUAUAUAAAAUUCACAAAAUACAGAAGAGUAUUCAAG
rnacentral:lncRNA from 1 species